UGGCUCUGAGGGCAGCCAGGGAGACAAGACCAUAGAAGCUGUUCAGGCUAGACUCAAACGUUACAAUUCUACGGCCUCAGCUUCCCGAACACUGGAAAUGCAGCUUGUCGAAAAAGGUACCCUUGUGUAGAUCAAGCAGGACCCAGAAUUGGCAGACUUCGACUUCCUUGUGAGUGUAGACCUGAGUCCUGCAAAGGGUGGCACUUGUUCCUUCC